rnacentral:rRNA from 1 species
GUGGCUAAGGCAUGCAAGUCGAACGAUGGUGGAAGGUAACGGAAGCACAUUUAGUGGCGAACGGGUGAGGAAUAGAUAGGUAACGUACCCCGGACUCAGGAAUAGCGGGGAACUUCGGUCCCUUUGCGAAAGUGCCGGUAAUACCUGAUGAUAUCACCGCAUCGCAUGGGGUGGUGAUCAAGGGUCCGCCGGUCUGGGAUCGGCCUAUCUCCUAUCAGCUUGUUGGUGGGGUAACGGCCCACCAAGGCUUCGACAGGUACCAGGCGUGAGAGCGCGAUCUGGCACAUCGGGACUGAGACACUGCCCGGACAUCUACGGAUGGCUGCAGCAACGAAUAUUCCGCAAUGGGCGCAAGCCUGACGGAGCGACGCCGCGUGCAGGAUGAAGCACCUCGGUGUGUAAACUACUGUCAGGGAUUAGGAAGAAAGUGACCAAUCCCAAAGGAAGCCUCGGCUAACUCCGUGCCAGCAGCCGCGGUAAUACGGAGGAGGCAAGCGUUGUUCGGAAUUACUGGGCUUAAAGCGUGCGUAGGCGGGAUGGCAGGUUCCAGUGAAAGCCCCCGGCUCAACCGGGGAACUGCUCGGUAAACCGCCACUCUUGAGGCCAGCAGGGGUACCCGGAACUUUGGGUGGAGCGGUGAAAUGCGUAGAUAUCCAAGGGAACGCCGGUGGCGAAAGCGGGGUACUGGACUGGUUCUGACGCUGAGGCACGAAAGCGUGGGGAGCAAACAGGAUUAGAUACCCUGGUAGUCCACGCCGUAAACGAUGCGCACUAGGUAUCAGCGCCUCUGACGGGGUUGGUGCCGUAGCAAAAGCGUUAAGUGCGCCGCCUGGGGAGUACGGCCGCAAGGCUAAAACUCAAAGGAAUUGACGGGGCUCACACAAGCGGUGGAGCAUGUGGAUUAAUUCGAAGCAACGCGAAGAACCUUACCUGGGUUUGACAUGCUAGGAUGCACCCGUGAAAGCGGGCUAUGCUGCCUUUGGUGAAACUAGCACAGGUGCUGCAUGGCUGUCGUCAGCUCGUGCUGUGAAGUGU